AUUGAACGCUGGCGGCAUGCCUAACACAUGCAAGUCGAACGGAGGUAGGGGCAACUCUACUUCAGUGGCGGACGGGUGAGGAAUGCGUCGGAAUCUACCCUAUGGUGGGGGAUAACACAGGGAAACUUGUGCUAAUACCGCAUAAUGUCGAGAGACCAAAGCAGGGGACCGCAAGGCCUUGCGCGAUAGGAUGAGCCGACGCCCGAUUAGCUAGUUGGUAGGGUAAAGGCCUACCAAGGCGACGAUCGGUAGCUGGUCUGAGAGGAUGAUCAGCCACACUGGGACUGAGACACGGCCCAGACUCCUACGGGAGGCAGCAGUGGGGAAUAUUGGACAAUGGGCGCAAGCCUGAUCCAGCAAUGCCGCGUGUGUGAAGAAGGCCUGCGGGUUGUAAAGCACUUUUGUUCGGGAAGAAAUCAUGCUGGUUAAUACCUGGUAUGGAUGACGGUACCGAAAGAAUAAGCACCGGCUAACUUCGUGCCAGCA
rnacentral:rRNA from 1 species